GAUGAACGCUAGCGGCAGGCCUAAUACAUGCAAGUCGAACGGGGUGAUUCAGCAAUGGAUCAUUCAGUGGCGCACGGGUGCGUAACGCGUAUGCAACCUACCUUAAACUGGGGGAUAGCCUUCCGAAAGGGAGAUUAAUACCGCAUAAUACUAUUUGAUGGCAUCUGAAGAUAGUUAAAGAUUUAUUGGUUUAAGAUGGGCAUGCGUGCCAUUAGCUAGUUGGUAGGGUAAUGGCCUACCAAGGCUACGAUGGCUAGGGGUUCUGAGAGGAUGAUCCCCCACACUGGUACUGAGAUACGGACCAGACUCCUACGGGAGGCAGCAGUAGGGAAUAUUGGGCAAUGGACGCAAGUCUGACCCAGCCAUGCCGCGUGCAGGAUGAAGGCCUUCUGGGUUGUAAACUGCUUUUAUCUAGGAAGAAAACACCCAUGCGUGGGAAACUGACGGUACUAGAUGAAUAAGCACCGGCUAACUCCGUGC
rnacentral:rRNA from 1 species